GAUGAACGCUAGCGGCAGGCCUAAUACAUGCAAGUCAAGGGGCCAGCAAUGGCACCGGCGGACGGGUGCGUAACGCGUACACAACGUACCUCUGACAGGGGGAUAGCAUUGGGAAACUGGUGGUAAUACCCCAUAGUAUUGCUGGGAGGCAUUUCUUGGCAAUUAAAGUUACGGCGGUCAGAGAUCGGUGUGCGUCCGAUUAGCUAGUUGGCGGGGUAACGGCCCACCAAGGCGACGAUCGGUAGGGGGUGUGAGAGCAUGACCCCCCACCAUGGUACGUNAGACACGACCGAACCUACU
rnacentral:rRNA from 1 species